AUUGCUUCUCGGCCUUUUGGCUAAGAUCAAGUGUAGUAUCUGUUCUUAUCAGUUUAAUAUCUGACACGUCCUCUGUCCAAGGACUAUUAAAAAAAAAAUAAGAAAGUCCCA
rnacentral:snRNA from 1 species